AUUGAACGCGGCGGCAUGCUUUACACAUGCAAGUCGGACGGCAGCACAGAGAAGCUUGCUUCUUGGGUGGCGAGUGGCGAACGGGUGAGUAACAUAUCGGAACGUACCGAGCAGUGGGGGAUAACUAAUCGAAAGAUUAGCUAAUACCGCAUAUAUUUGAGGAAGAAAGCAGGGGACCAUUUGGCCUUGCGCUGUUUGAGCGGCCGAUAUCUGAUUAGCUAGUUGGUGGGGUAAAGGCCUACCAAGGCGACGAUCAGUAGCGGGUCUGAGAGGAUGAUCCGCCACACUGGGACUGAGACACGGCCCAGACUCCUACGGGAGGCAGCAGUGGGGAAUUUUGGACAAUGGGCGCAAGCCUGAUCCAGCCAUGCCGCGUGUCUGAAGAAGGCCUUCGGGUUGUAAAGGACUUUUGUCAGGGAAGAAAAGGGCGGGGUUAAUACCCCUGUCUGAUGACGUACCUGAAGAAUAAGCCC
rnacentral:rRNA from 1 species